rnacentral:rRNA from 1 species
CAUGGCUCAGAUUGAACGCUGGCGGCAGGCCUAACACAUGCAAGUCGAGCGGUAGAGAGAAGCUUGCUUCUCUUGAGAGCGGCGGACGGGUGAGUAAUGCCUAGGAAUCUGCCUGGUAGUGGGGGAUAACGUUCGGAAACGGACGCUAAUACCGCAUACGUCCUACGGGAGAAAGCAGGGGACCUUCGGGCCUUGCGCUAUCAGAUGAGCCUAGGUCGGAUUAGCUAGUUGGUGAGGUAAUGGCUCACCAAGGCGACGAUCCGUAACUGGUCUGAGAGGAUGAUCAGUCACACUGGAACUGAGACACGGUCCAGACUCCUACGGGAGGCAGCAGUGGGGAAUAUUGGACAAUGGGCGAAAGCCUGAUCCAGCCAUGCCGCGUGUGUGAAGAAGGUCUUCGGAUUGUAAAGCACUUUAAGUUGGGAGGAAGGGUUGUAGAUUAAUACU